GCGGGGGCAGGGAGAGGAAGCAAAGAGAGUGCAAGAGAAAAAUCAAACUUGGCUACCAAAUUAUAGAUCAGUUAGUGGCGGGGGAGGGGGGGGUGAGAAGAUAUAAUUAGUGACAGAGUCUGGAGGCCCCCGCCUCCCCCCGCACUGGGGGCUGACUGAGUGGGCAAGGGAGGCAGGGCGGUGAGCCAGGCGAGCUGGAGCGGUGCAGGGCUACCCCCCAUCUCUUCCCACCCCGCAGCCUCAGCGCAAAGCUACAGCGCGGCUGCGGAGGAGAAGCAGCAGCGGCAGCUACCUGGGAGCAGACGGAGCCGUAAAGGAAGUAGCUGAGGCUGAGAACCUGAAAGUAGCGAAUCCCUAGCGGCUUCCCUCGAGCUGCACUGACCCCAGCAUACAGGGCUUGCUGCAAACUGUUUUCAGCUCCCCUCAUUCAAUCCAACAGCAGCCAGAGGCCUAUGAAGCUCUGUCAUUUCAUGAGAUUCAGCCACACAUACUUGAAGCCAUGCAUGCCUCUCAAACCGGGGCAAUGGUUCCUUGCUUCAGAGGUUGCAAAAUUGUAGUGGGAAGUAUACAAAUCCAUGUUUGGAGCUCAGGAUCUCCUCUUUCAUAGCUCCAUCAAGCAACAAGAAUGUUUUAGAAGUAGGAUCAGAGGGUUGAAUUUAGGGAGGGGGAUGCAAAGAAAUGAUGAACGAUGUUAACUUUUGACUGCAGGAGUCAUGAUAGAGUUGAGUGAAGCUUCAGGGAAAUAAAUCAUUUAAUCCCAGAGCUACCGAAGUCACCUUUUCAAACAUUUUGAGGCUUGAAAUCAUACUGCUAUAAAAGCGAAUGAAUACUUAAAAGUAUCAAACAUUAAGAAAUGUAGAUAUAUUAGGAAUGGAUCCAAAAUUAGAAAAAAAUAACCACGCGAUCAUGAAAAUAUCAACCAAAUUAUAUCUCCCAAGGAAAACAACAACAACAACGGCAUCAGCAAAAUUGUAGCUCUUGCAUUCACUAAAGGAGAAUAGACAGCAUGUGCAUGUUUGUGUGAAAUGCCAAAAAGAGCAGCCUUAAGCUUGACCUACUGCAAUCUGCACUGAGCUCCUCAGACAAUAGACAAGUUCAAAUGUCAAAAAAUCUAAUAAUAAAAAACAGAGCUGCCAAACUGCAUGAACUGUUUUCUAGUGUACCACAAUUAUUCACCCUCUUAUCCACUAAGAGACUGCCAGUCUUAUGCGCGUAAAAGAAAAUCUAUGUAAUGCAUAUAGAUUUUUUAAAAAAUGUAAAACGCGAUUGAGAUUGCCAGCAAGCAAAUCAGAAUAUGUCUAAUAAAAGCAGAGCUAAGGUUUCCACAGCCUUGGAAAGACGCUAACUUGUAAAUCCUUUUUUUAUGUUGCUACAUGUACAAUUAUUCUUAUAAAUAAAAAUCUACGUGUUCGAGGAGCUAGGUUGUAACUAUCUAUCCGGAGAAUUUUAAGGGAGGUGGUGACAUUAAGCUUCAUGUGCAAUGUGUCUGCAUGGAACUCAAGCCAGCAGAUAGAUUAUUCCAUUCAUUUGAGCACUUUCAUUACUAUGCAUGUUAGGUGCACCCUAAACACAGUAGAGCGUAUAAUAUCAGAAAUGUGCUGUUCUAAACGUACCUAUAUUUUCAAAUAGAUCUUAAUUGUAUGUGUAGUACUGUGUUACAUUAUUAAUUUAUUACAGAAUCAGAAAUUAUUUAUUACCCUAAACAAUAAAUAAGGUUCAUACUGGAAUCUUCGCAAUUAAAUGUAUGGAUAAAAGAUCAUCCUGCCUAUUGUGUAUGUCCUUGUUACUGUAAGCCUUUAAAAGUAAUAUGUCUUUUUUCCUCUUUUCUCCAGAUUGGCUGGCGUAAUAUCUGUUGUCCAACUAUCAACGGUUAUAUGAAUUUCUAUAUGGGUAAGGUUUAAAAACAGAGCAAAUCACAUUAUCUGGGAAUGCUACAAAUCUGGAAUCCACUCAACUCCACCUUCUCAUCUGACUGCUGUGUUAUAAAGGAAAACAUUUUACAUAUAGCAUACUGUAUAUGUAGCAUGUCUUUGUUUAACAUUUUAAUUUGUAAAUGCUAAUUAGGCAGUUGCUCUCCACAAUUAUAUUAUUACACACCUAAUCAUUCUCGAAUAUAAGUAGAUGAAUACUAAAUACAGUAAAUAGUAUUUCCUAAUACCUCGGCACUGUUCUUCAUUUUGCAAAUGAGUCUUUCCGGACAAAAUAAUUAAAACAACAAAAACCACAAAAACAAAAAACUCUUUGUAGCUUUGUUUUAAUUGUUCUGGCACUUAAGGCAUAAACGUGGCGGUCACAUCCAAAUAAUAUAUUUAACAGCCAGCAUGGAAAGUAACUAUCAAAUUAACUUGUUGCUCGUUUUAAGUGUUAAUGUUUUCUAUUUGCUUUCAUUCGCUUCUAUGUAUACAGACAGUGAGUCAUACAGGAAUAAGACUGAGGAGUUGACCUACUAGAAUUGUUUUUUUGGACUAUAAAUUCAAGUUUCAUUUGAGGUAGAAAAAGGACAAAGCGCGAACUGCACGAAAAUGCAAUAUUUUUCAAAUAUGGAAUAUUAACCAUCACUGGCCUCUCUAAACUCAAAAUCCCAUGGUCAUAUGUCCAAAAACUGUCUGAUAAACAAUGGUAAAUCCAAGACUCUGUGGUGACGUUUGUGAAGAAAAUUGCACUAUAGAUAUGUACCCUAAUAGUCUGGGAAAUAGUCAUUGCUUUCUUUGGCAAAUGCGGUAUGGUGGGAAGUUUUAGUCAUGUAAAUAUCUCCAUGCAUUUUCAGUCAUAUUCAAUA